rnacentral:rRNA from 1 species
UCAGUUACCAGCACGUUAUGGUGGGCACUCUAAGGAGACUGCCGGUGACAAACCGGAGGAAGGUGGGGAUGACGUCAAGUCAUCAUGGCCCUUACGGCCUGGGCUACACACGUGCUACAAUGGUCGGUACAAAGGGUUGCCAAGCCGCGAGGUGGAGCUAAUCCCAUAAAACCGAUCGUAGUCCGGAUCGCAGUCUGCAACUCGACUGCGUGAAGUCGGAAUCGCUAGUAAUCGUGAAUCAGAAUGUCACGGUGAAUACGUUCCCGGGCCUU